CGGCGCCUGCCCCAGCUCCUGCUCCCGCGGUGCCCAUUCCUGUUGCGACCUCCUCGCCCGCGGUCGCGAUGUCGCCCACUGCGUCGACCUCGUCCGGCUGCUCUUCGGGCGUCGUGGCUGCACCUGCGCCCAUUCCUACACCAGUAGCGCCAGCAGCUGCGGCCGUGGCCCUGGCUGCGCUGCAACAGGCGCAAAUGCAGCAAUUGCAGCCGGCCUGCGCUGCCAUGCUGCCGCGCCUGGUCACCACAACAGCAGCGCAGCAGAUGUGGACUGCUAUGCUUCAAGCAGCGUGCACAGUUACGCCGGCACUGGCUGCCGCUCACGCACCUGCUGCGGCCUCGGUCGAUGACGCUAAGGCGCGCGCCCAGCCCGCUGGGACGAGCCGACAAGGAAGCCGCGAGGACUCCGGCGACUCCUCCGACACCGACCAAGAUGAUGAUAUGGUGGACUC
rnacentral:lncRNA from 1 species